UACGUAGGGUGCGAGCGUUUGUCCGGAAUUAUUGGGCGUAAAGGGCUUGUAGGCGGUUCGUCACGUCGGAAGUGAAAACUCAGGGCUCAACCCUGAGCGUGCUUCCGAUACGGGCGGACUAGAGGUAUGCAGGGGAGAACGGAAUUCCUGGUGUAGCGGUGGAAUGCGCAGAUAUCAGGAGGAACACCGGUGGCGAAGGCGGUUCUCUGGGCAUUACCUGACGCUGAGGAGCGAAAGCAUGGGGAGCGAACAGG
rnacentral:rRNA from 1 species